UGGACCUCAGAUCAGGCAAGAUCACCCGCUGAGUUUAAGCAUAUCACUAAGCGGAGGAAAAGAAACUAACGAGGAUUUCCUUAGUAACGGCGAGCG
rnacentral:rRNA from 1 species